rnacentral:misc_RNA from 1 species
AAAAAAAAAAAAAGAAAGACAGAAUUGACAGCAAGCCUCUGAGUCUUUGAAAUGUCCUUCAUUACCCUCAAAGAUUUAGAAUUUUAUAAGCAACCAAGAAUCAACUUCUUUAGCCAAUUUCACUUUACAACCAAACCAGUAUAAACAUGUGAACAAUUUGCACCUAGAGGAAGAAGAACUUUGUAUUCUGUACGCUAGACAAAUGAGGAACGAAAUCAAGAACAAGAGCCAAAAAGCAGAGGCCUAAUACAG